rnacentral:rRNA from 1 species
UUGGCGUGCUUAACACAUGCAAGUCGAACGGAAAGGCCCUGCUUUUGUGGGGUGCUCGAGUGGCGAACGGGUGAGUAACACGUGAGUAACCUGCCCUUGACUUUGGGAUAACUUCAGGAAACUGGGGCUAAUACCGGAUAGGAGCUCCUGCUGCAUGGUGGGGGUUGGAAAGUUUCGGCGGUUGGGGAUGGACUCGCGGCUUAUCAGCUUGUUGGUGGGGUAGUGGCUUACCAAGGCUUUGACGGGUAGCCGGCCUGAGAGGGUGACCGGCCACAUUGGGACUGAGAUACGGCCCAGACUCCUACGGGAGGCAGCAGUGGGGAAUAUUGCACAAUGGGCGGAAGCCUGAUGCAGCAACGCCGCGUGCGGGAUGACGGCCUUCGGGUUGUAAACCGCUUUCGCCUGUGACGAAGCGUGAGUGACGGUAAUGGGUAAAGAAGCACCGGCUAACUACGUGCCAGCAGCCGCGGUGAUACGUAGGGUGCGAGCGUUGUCCGGAUUUAUUGGGCGUAAAGGGCUCGUAGGUGGUUGAUCGCGUCGGAAGUGUAAUCUUGGGGCUUAACCCUGAGCGUGCUUUCGAUACGGGUUGACUUGAGGAAGGUAGGGGAGAAUGGAAUUCCUGGUGGAGCGGUGGAAUGCGCAGAUAUCAGGAGGAACACCAGUGGCGAAGGCGGUUCUCUGGGCCUUUCCUGACGCUGAGGAGCGAAAGCGUGGGGAGCGAACAGGCUUAGAUACCCUGGUAGUCCACGCUGUAAACGGUGGGUACUAGGUGUGGGGUCCAUUCCACGGGUUCCGUGCCGUAGCUAACGCUUUAAGUACCCCGCCUGGGGAGUACGGCCGCAAGGCUAAAACUCAAAGGAAUUGACGGGGCCCCGCACAAGCGGCGGAGCAUGCGGAUUAAUUCGAUGCAACGCGUAGAACCUUACCUGGGUUUGACAUGGAUCGGGAGUGCUCAGAGAUGGGUGUGCCUCUUUUGGGGUCGGUUCACAGGUGGUGCAUGGCUGUCGUCAGCUCGUGUCGUGAGAUGUUGGGUUAAGUCCCGCAACGAGCGCAACCCUUGUUCACUGUUGCCAGCACGUUAUGGUGGGGACUCAGUGGAGACCGCCGGGGUCAACUCGGAGGAAGGUGGGGAUGACGUCAAGUCAUCAUGCCCCUUAUGUCCAGGGCUUCACGCAUGCUACAAUGGCUGGUACAGAGAGUGGCGAGCCUGUGAGGGUGAGCGAAUCUCGGAAAGCCGGUCUCAGUUCGGAUUGGGGUCUGCAACUCGACCUCAUGAAGUCGGAGUCGCUAGUAAUCGCAGAUCAGCAACGCUGCGGUGAAUACGUUCCCGGGGCUUGUACACACCGCCCGUCAUGUCAUGAAAGUUGGUAACACCCGAAGCCGGUGGCCUAACCGUUGUGGGGGAGCCGUCGAAGGUGGGACUGGUGAUUA